GCCUCCCUCCACCCCUUCCUCCCGCAGCUGCAAUCACGGGCGUUUCCUCCUCUUUCCUACGUUCAGGGCAGUUUUUGUCUCUCAAGCAAAAACGGCUGUGGGGGGGGGGGGCGAUCCCGAGUGGGGAGUAUUUGAUUAAAACAAAGCCGAAGUCCCCCCCUCCUCCCCUCCAGCCCCGGCACUCCCCGUUUGUAGAAGAGGGGCCGCUUCGGGCCUUUCUCGGGCCGGGGCUGUCCGUGCCCGGAACGCCGUCCACCUGCGCACAGCGGUCAGCGCCCCGCGGCUCUCCGACCGCAACGUCGGGGCCGGGGCCGUCCGGGCUGGGAGAGGCCGCGGCCGCUCCCGCCACCUCAGCGUCCCCGUAUCCGCGGUGCUUCCAAGAGGCUCCGGCAAUCCACGGCGAGGCUCCAAUCCACCCCGACUGUCAUCACCCGGCAGAUAAACGGCCGGAUCCCCGACGGCAGGGUGGCUCCUAUUCGUGGCUCAUCAUCGCCGAGUCCAGGGAGCAGGCAAAGGGGGGAGGAUAAGCCCUGCUUCCAGAGACCGGCUCUCCACACCACUCAUCACUGUCACCGAGCUCAUGCCUUGGCCCCGAACACCGUCGAUUAAUAAAAGCUCACUGUCGCUUUUCUCUAAUAAUUACAGUCGCGGGCCGGGGGAAAGAAAAAUAAAAAAAAAGAAGAAGAAGAAAAACAAAACAAAGCAAAACAAAACCCGAAAAGGCUGCGGCUGCGCGCUACCUGCGGGGAUGCCCUGCCGCGCAGCCGUUGCCGGUGCGGCUCUCCUUUAUUGUUUCUUUUCCCCCCCAAAUGCGAUGAACCUCGCGGAGCUGCCAGCCCCGACGGCCGCCCCGACGGGGGGUGGGGAGCCGCGGCCGUGCGCUUUGGCACGGAGCUGUCGGCUGCAGCGGGAGCGCAGCGGUUCGCACCGCCGCUGCGGGUUUGAAUGGCUGAGGGCUGAGAAAAGGUGGCAGGAUUUGGCCAGAGAAAACGCGGCGAGUACGGAGAGCAACCGCUGAGUUCUGUUCUCGGGAGGAAUCGCAGAGCACCAAAGCCGGGCUUCUCGACAGGGCCAGCGCCAAAUCUCUAAUAACGGUGUAAUACGUUUAUUUCUGCCAUACAAGGACUUACAGACCUCGCUGCGAGCUUCUGGCUCACGUUGCUUUCCCCCUCCAUCCCUCAGGCUCUGAUGCCACGGGCCGGGCACUGCGCUCCGGGCCGAGAGGGGAACCCGAAAUCGGAACGCCCAGAACCGACGGCAGAAAGCGGGAACUUACCGAAACUCAGCACGCAGCCCAUGGCAGCCAGCAGCAGUGGGGAAACUGAGGCACAGCGUGGCUGACAGCUCCGUGACCGGUGCUGAGCACUCAGCAGGGAUGGGUGCACCACCGGGGCUGACCUGCAAUCAAUCACAGUUCAUGUCCCUUCAGCAUCGCAGGGCUGGGUUAUUUCUGGCUCCUCGUGGCCUCAGAGCCCUCUCGGUGCUGGGAUGUGCACAUGGCUGAAGUCAAAGGGCAACAUGGGCCCACAUGGCCUGGGAGUGGGACUCACAGCCCAAGGCCGUCGGGAUGUGCAGCGGGAUGGGAUCAGGGCUGACUUUCUGUUCUGGAACCCCCAGCCAUGCAUCCACCUUGCGAUGGGCAGUGUGAGUGCUGAGCUCCGGAUGGAAGAAGACAGCAGCAGCUGCCUGGAGUGCACUCACAGAGCGGCUGCAUUUCUUCCCCCUGAGCCGUAAAUCGCGGGCUGGGGCCGGCGGCAUCCCUCUCGUGGUCGCCCCGGGAUGAGUUACGAGGAGAGAGCUCCGCAGCCAGGGCUUUGCUCCAGGGCCCUCCCAAGAGCCAUUCUCCUCCUUUUUCCACCCCAAACCACACUGCUGCCCCACUGGGGUCUCUCCAGCCCCACUGCAGGACCCCACGCUCCCGGCGCUCCUCCGCUCCCCGUCCUCCCGCAGCCGCGGCGAGCGGGCAGAUGUCUUGCUGACAGCUUCAGGAACACCUUGUAGCAGUUGCGGUGAUUCCUGAGAUCCAUUGCUUCCCAUUUCAAUUCACACAUCAUGAUUUCUAAACCUCAGCCCGCACCUUCCCUUCGCGGCUCCCUACCUCCAGCCCGCCAGCACUGGGAGCAAUGGUGAUGGGGACAUAGGGAAGGGGACCUGGUUCAUCCUUGCCUGACCACCACCUCCCGCCAUGCCAUGCCUUAGGGAGAGCCCCACACCCCGCCAAAAAAAUAGGCACAAUCAGCAAAAUGCGGGCUGGGAGGCACCUGGAGGGCAGUGAGGGGACGGUGCUCCUUUCUGGGGACCCAGGGCUGAGCCGCUGUGUUCCCCUGUGCUGUGUGGCUGUGGUAGAGGCUUGGCCUCGGGGUGAUAAAAGCGGCGUGUUUUUCCAAUUAGAAGAGCCAAAUGUCUUUUCCUGCCAGCAUUCAGCCCAGCCUAACAUGCGAUGUCUACAUCUUAACCUUGAAGAAGCCUCCAGAGACGCUGCUAAAUAAAUCAACGCGGCUCCACGUGCUGGAAAACAGAACCAAUAAAUAACUUCAGAACA